GGCCUUAUAUUCAAGAGUGAUUUUGGAUUGCAAAUCUAAAGGUGAAGUGAAAAGCUUCUAAGGCUU
rnacentral:tRNA from 1 species